UACGUAGGGUGCGAGCGUUGUCCGGAAUUAUUGGGCGUAAAGAGCUCGUAGGCGGUGUGUCACGUCGGCCGUGAAAACCUGCAGCUUAACUGUGGGCGUGCGGUCGAUACGGGCAUCACUGGAGUUCGGCAGGGGAGACUGGAAUUCCUGGUGUAGUGGUGGAAUGCGUAGAGAUCCGGGAGAACACCGAUGGCGAAGGCAGCCCCCUGGGCUAACACUGACGCUCAUGCACGAAAGCGUGGGGAGCAAACAGG
rnacentral:rRNA from 1 species